GAAAGAUGGCUUUGGCUAUCACUCUGGGACGGACCUGCGGUGCAUUAGCUAGUUGGUAAGGUAACGGCUUACCAAGGCGAUGAUGCAUAGCCGAGUUGAGAGACUGAUCGGCCACAAUGGAACUGAGACACGGUCCAUACUCCUACGGGAGGCAGCAGUAGGGAAUCUUCCACAAUGGGCGCAAGCCUGAUGGAGCAACACCGCGUGAGUGAAGAAGGGUUUCGGCUCGUAAAGCUCUGUUGUUGGAGAAGAACGUGCGUGAGAGUAACUGUUCACGCAGUGACGGUAUCCAACCAGAAAGUCACGGCUAACUACGUGCCAGCAGCCGCGGUAAUACGUAGGUGGCAAGCGUUAUCCGGAUUUAUUGGGCGUAAAGCGAGCGCAGGCGGUUGCUUAGGUCUGAUGUGAAAGCCUUCGGCUUAACCGAAGAAGUGCAUCGGAAACCGGGCGACUUGAGUGCAGAAGAGGACAGUGGAACUCCAUGUGUAGCGGUGGAAUGCGUAGAUAUAUGGAAGAACACCAGUGGCGAAGGCGGCUGUCUGGUCUGCAACUGACGCUGAGGCUCGAAAGCAUGGGUAGCGAACAGGAUUAGAUACCCUGGUAGUCCAUGCCGUAAACGAUGAGUGCUAGGUGUUGGAGGGUUUCCGCCCUUCA
rnacentral:rRNA from 1 species